rnacentral:misc_RNA from 1 species
UUGACUUAUUUGUAGUCCACUCAGAAUGCGACUUUAACACAGGGUUUGGGGUGCGCAUCGGCGGGAGCCCGGGGGCAGUCCGCCGAAGCAACGUUAGGUGGGUUCUCGAGGGUUGGGAGUUUAAAACUCGCUAAUGAUCCCUCCGCUGGUUCACCAACGGAGA